UCUAAAUACCCUACACUAACCACCUAAUCUACCCUAAACUAAUCAAAUUAGAUAGGAAAUAGAGAGAGAACGUACCAUAGUUACGAAAGAGAGAGGAAGUGGAGAGGAAAUGGGAGAGCGAAGUUCGCGUGUUUAUAUAAGAAAUUAGUAAUCGUCGUAAUUUCCUCGUAUAUUUACGAGGAACUAGUGAGGCCCGUGUUUUCCUUACGAGGAAUUAGCGAGGCCCGCGUUUUGUUUCCACG
rnacentral:lncRNA from 1 species